AUACGAAGGGUGCAAGCGUUAAUCGGAAUUACUGGGCGUAAAGCGCGCGUAGGCGGCCAGGUAAGUCGAAUGUGAAAGCCCGGGGCUCAACCAUGCAACUGCGAUUGAUACUGCGAAGCUUGAAUAAGGUUGAGGUAGGCGGAAUGUGACAUGUAGCGGUGAAAUGCUUAGAUAUGUCAUAGAACACCGAUUGCGAAGGCAGCUUACUGGGCCUGAAUUGACGCUGAGGCACGAAAGCGUGGGGAUC
rnacentral:rRNA from 1 species